ACGACUCGAGAAGGAAGAAAAGCCAAAGAAGAAGAAACAAGAGAGCAAGAAAAUGUCUCCAGCCCAAGUGAUGUUGCCUUCUACGCUGUGAGGCAGGUCCUACACCACCUUAAAAGACAGAAGAUUCAAUUGUCAGCCUCCAAUGUUGAUGGUAAAAAUAGAAGAAAGCAUGGAAAGCAAGAAUGCAUAUGGUCUUCGUCAGGAAUGAUACUUCACCAAGUAACUCAAAACUGACCUGUGAUAAUAGAUUUCAAACCUUUCUGGCAUGGAGUAAAUUUAGCCCCGUGAUGGUUCUUAGAACCAGAAAGGAAACCCCAAUGGCCAUUUUUAAUUGUAGGCGUGGCCAGUAAUUCAUAAUAGAUUUUAUACCUUUUUUGCCUGGCAUACUUUAGUCCUGGUGAUGGUUCUUAGAACCAGAAAGAAAACCUCAGUGGCCAUUUUUAAUGGUAAGUAUGGCCAUUGAUUUAUAGAAGAUUUUAAAGUUUCUCAGAUUGAGCGGAGGAACAACUGCAGUCCUGCUGCCAAAUGUUCCUUGGAAGAGACAACGCUUGCUGGACACGACUCGAGAAGGAAGAAAAGCCAAAGAAGAAGAAACAAGAGAGCAAGAAAAUGUCUCCAGCCCAAGUGAUGUUGCCUUCUACGCUGUGAGGCAGGUCCUACACCACCUUAAAAGACAGAAGAUUCAAUUGUCAGCCUCCAAUGUUGAUGGUAAAAAUAGAAGAAAGCAUGGAAAGCAAGAAUGCAUAUGGUCUUCGUCAGGAAUGAUACUUCACCAAGUAACUCAAAACUGACCUGUGAUAAUAGAUUUCAAACCUUUCUGGCAUGGAGUAAAUUUAGCCCUGGCGAUGGUUCUUAGAACCAGAAAGGAAACCCCAAUGGCCAUUUUUAAUUGUAGGCGUGGCCAGUAAUUGAUAAUAGAUUUUAUACCUUUUUUGCCUGGCAUAAUUUAGUCCUGGUGAUGGUUCUUAGAAUCAGAAAGAAAAUCGCAAUGGCCAUUUUUAAUUGUAGGCGUGGCCAGUAAUUGAUAAUAGAUUUUAUACCUUUUUUGCCUGGCAUAAUUUAGUCCUGGUGAUGGUUCUUAGAAUCAGAAAGAAAAUCGCAAUGGCCAUUUUUAAUUGUAGCGUGGCCAGUAAUUGAUAAUAGAUUUUAUAUACCUUUUUGCCUGGCGUAAUUUAGCCCUGGCGAUGGUUCUUAGAACCAGAAAGAAAACCUCAGUGGCCAUUUUUAAUGGUAAGUAUGGCCAUUGAUUUAUAGAAGAUUUUAAAGUUUCUCAGAUUGAGCGGAGGAACAACUGCAGUCCUGCUGCCAAAUGUUCCUUGGAAGAGACAACGCUUGCUGGACACGACUCAGGAAGGAAGAAAAGCCAAAGAAGAAGAAACAAGAGAGCAAGAAAAUGUCUCCAGCCCAAGUGAUGUUGCCUUCUAC